GGCCUUGAGGGUGAUUUGGUUGCAACAUCUGUCACCCCAUUAAUCACCAGGAUUGAUUCAGCUGAUCUGGCUGACUAGACAGAUGUCCCUUUCCUCCUCAGCACUCCAUAUGUAUGCUUGGUCAGUAGAAGAAGAUACAUUCCUCAAUUAGGUACCAGUCUUCAGUUUAGGCUUUGUGAGCAGCUGCAGUUGCCUGCUAGAACCCCCAAACAAACUCUCAAAAACCAACGGAGUUUGUCAUUACCAGACCUGCUUUAUAAGAGUUACUGAAGGGGGACAGGCAGUGGCACACCUGGUUA
ensembl:misc_RNA 7SK 7SK RNA